UGGGGAAUAUUGGGCAAUGGGCGAAAGCCUGACCCAGCAACGCCGCGUGAGGGAAGAAGGUUUUCGGAUUGUAAACCUCUGUCCUAAGGGACGAAGGAAGUGACGGUACCUUAGGAGGAAGCCCCGGCUAACUACGUGCCAGCAGCCGCGGUAAUACGUAGGGGGCGAGCGUUGUCCGGAAUGACUGGGCGUAAAGGGCGUGUAGGCGGCAGUAUAAGUCCGGAGUGAAAGUCCUGCUUUCAAGGUGGGAAUUGCUUUGGAGACUGUACAGCUUGAGUGCGGAAGAGGUAAGUGGAAUUCCAGUGUAGCGGU
rnacentral:rRNA from 1 species